AAAGGCGAAAAGAACCCCGGUAAGGGGAGUGAAAUAGAACCUGAAACCAUAAACUGACAAGAUGUCACAGCCCGCAAGGGUAGUGGCGUGUCUUUUGUAGAAUAAACCUGCGAGUUGCGUUAUGCAGCGAGGAUAAGAAAUAGAAGUUUUGGAUCCGAAGCGAAAGCGAGUCUGAAAAGGGCGAUAAGUUGCAUGACGCAGACCCGAAGCCAAGGUGAUCUAGUCAUGAGCAGGUUGAAGCAGGGGUAAAACCCUGUGGAGGACCGAACAGUAAUCUGUUAAAAAAGGUAGUGAUGACUUGUGACUAGGAGUGAAAGGCUAAACAAACCUGGAAAUAGCUGGCUCUCCCCGAAAUGCCUUUAGGGACAGCCUCAUAAAAAGUUACCGGAGGUAAAGCACUGGAUGGAAAAGGGGGAGUUAAAUCUUUCCGAUUUCAAUCAAACUCUGAAUGUCGGUAACCAGCUUAUGGGAGUGAGACUGCGUGCGCCAAGGUUCGUAGUCGAAAGGGAAACAGCCCAAACCGGCAAUUAAGGUCCCAAAUUUAUGCUAAGUGUUAAAUGAAGUGAAGAUGCACAGACAGCCAGGAGGUUGGCUUAGAAGCAGCCAUUCCUUAAAAGAGUGCGUAACAGCUCACUGGUCGAGCAUCCGUGCGCAGACAAUGUAACGGGGCUUAAGCAUUAUACCGAAGAUCCGGAAUCAUACUGUAAGGUAUGAUUGGUAGGGGAGCAUUCCAUUAACUGAAGAAGAAGUACCUGUGAGGGGCUUUGGAGGAGAUGGAAGAGAGAAUGCAGGCAUAAGUAACGAAAAGACGGGUGAGAUUCCCGUCCGCCGAAAACCUAAGGUUUCCAGGGUAAAGGCAAUCUGCCCUGGGUAAGUCGGCCCCUAAGGCCAGGGAGAAAUCCGUAGCCGAUGGGAAUCCGGUUCAUAAUCCGGAACCCGGUUUAUUUUGAAGCCGUGACGCAUGAGGUGAAAUCCGGCCGGAGAACGGUAGUUCCGGUCUAAGCCGUAAGUUGUUGAAGAAGGGGUUAAAUGACUUUCUGAGAUGAGCGGUGAAAGCGAGGGGAGAGAAAGUCGAACUGAAGCGGACGUAAUCAAGGUGACGAGAAAGAGCGGCUAAGUGUGGUAAAUCAGACCGUACCGUAAACGGACACACGUAGGUGGGAUGAGAAAUCUAAGGCGCACGAGCGACCUCGCGUUAAGGAACUCGGCAAAAUGCACACGUAACUUCGGAAGAAGUGUGGCUCCUGUUUGAAAGGAUAAGGAGCGGCAGAAAGCAGGCCCAGGCGACUGUUUAUCAAAAACACAGCCAUCUGCGAACCAGCAAUGGGACGUAUAGGUGGUGACACCUGCCCGGUGCCGGAAGGUUAAGGGGAGGGGUUAGCAGCAAUGCGAAGCUCUGAACUGAAGCCCCGGUAAACGGCGGCCGUAACUAUAACGGUCCUAAGGUAGCGAAAUUCCUUGUCGGGUAAGUUCCGACCCGCACGAAUGGUGUAACGAUUCUGGGCACUGUCUCAACGCGAGACUCGGUGAAAUUUAUAUUCCGGUAAAGAAGCCGGAUACCCAUAAUUAGACGGAAAGACCCCGUGAACCUUCACCGUAACUUAGCAUGGGGAUCUUAUUUAUCAUGUGUAGGAUAGCUGGGAGGCAGUGAGGCGUGGUCGUUAGGCUGCGCAGAGCCAAUGGUGAAAUACCAGCCUUGAUGAAUGGGAUUUCUAACCCGCUCCUUGAAGCAGGGGCAGGGGACAAUGCUAGGCAGGCGGUUUGACUGGGGCGGUCGCCUCCUAAAAUGUAACGGAGGCGCGCGAAGGUCUCCUCACCGUGGUUGGAAAUC
rnacentral:rRNA from 1 species